GACGGGGGGGACCAGUGUUAGUCGCAUUGAUUGGGCGUAAAGGGUGUGUAGGCGGCUCUUUUGAACCUAUCCUAAAUUCCACUUCGAAUGUGGCAUGGAUUUGUUAUCGUGGGGCUAGAGUGGUGGAGAGGAAGGCGGUACCGACCUUUUAGGUUUGAUGGCCUGCGAGAAGUGCGGGACCCUCAUCGGCGAAGGCGGCUAUCCAUCUAUCACUGACGUUGAGGCACGGAGGCGUGGGGAGCAAACGGG
rnacentral:misc_RNA from 1 species